UGCGUAGGCGGAAAAUUAAGUCAGUGAUGAAAUCCUGCAGCUUAACUGUAGAACUGUUAUUGAUACUGAUUUUCUUGAAUAUAGUUGAGGUAGGCGGAAUGUGUAAUGUAGCGGUGAAAUGCUUAGAUAUUACACAGAACACCGAUUGCGAAGGCAGCUUACUAAGCUAUUAUUGACGCUGAGGCACGAAAGCGUGGGGAGCGAACAGGAUUAGAUACCCUGGUAGUC
rnacentral:rRNA from 1 species